AGAGUUUGAUCCUGGCUCAGGACGAACGCUGGCGGCGUGCCUAAUACAUGCAAGUCGAGCGGAUCUUGUCCUUCGGGACAAGGUUAGCGGCGGACGGGUGAGUAACACGUAGGCAACCUGCCCUCAAGACUGGGAUAACCUCCGGAAACGGAUGCUAAUACCGGAUAUGCGGUCUCUCCUCCUGGAGGGAUCGGGAAAGACGGAGCAAUCUGUCGCUUGGGGAUGGGCCUGCGGCGCAUUAGCUAGUUGGUGAGGUAACGGCUCACCAAGGCGACGAUGCGUAGCCGACCUGAGAGGGUGAUCGGCCACACUGGGACUGAGACACGGCCCAGACUCCUACGGGAGGCAGCAGUAGGGAAUCUUCCGCAAUGGACGCAAGUCUGACGGAGCAACGCCGCGUGAGUGAGGAAGGCCUUCGGGUCGUAAAGCUCUGUUGCCAGGGAAGAACGGGUGGAAGAGUAACUGCUUCCGCCAUGACGGUACCUGAGAAGAAAGCCCCGGCU
rnacentral:rRNA from 1 species